rnacentral:rRNA from 1 species
UGGUUAUACAAUGGUGGUCCUUAUGAGCUAAUUGUUCUACACUUCUUACUUGGUGUAGCUUGUUAUAUGGGUCGUGAGUGGGAACUUAGUUUCCGUCUGGGUAUGCGUCCUUGGAUUGUUGUUGCAUAUUCAGCUCCUGUUGCAGCUGCUACUGCUGUUUUCUUGAUUUACCCUAUUGGUCAAGGAAGCUUUUCUGAUGGUGUAGCUGGUGUAUUCGGCGGUUCCCUAUUCAGUGCUAUGCAUGGUUCCUUGGUAACCUCUAGUUUGGUCAGGGAAACUACUGAAAAUGAAUCUGCUAAUGAGGGUUACAAAUUUGGUCAAGAGGAAGAAACUUAUAAUAUUGUGGCUGCUCAU